rnacentral:misc_RNA from 1 species
UCUCCGUAGGUGAACCUGCGGAGGGAUCAUUACAGAGUUCAUGCCCUACCGGGUAGAUCUCCCACCCUAUGUUAUUAUUACUUUGUUGCUUUGGCGGGCCGUUAGGCUCCGGCCCGACUACCGGCCCCGGCUGGUAAGCGCCCGCCCGAGGACCCAAAACCCUGAAUAUUAGUGUCGUCUGAGUACUAUAUAAUAGUUAAAACUUUCAACAACGGAUCUCUUGGUUCUG